UACAGAGGUCUCAAGCGUUGUUCGGAUUCAUUGGGCGUAAAGGGUGCGUAGGUGGCGCCGUAAGUCAGGUGUGAAAUUUCGGAGCUUAACUCCGAAACUGCAUUUGAUACUGCGGUGCUUGAGGACUGGAGAGGAGACUGGAAUUCAUGGUGUAGCAGUGAAAUGCGUAGAGAUCAUGAGGAAGACCAGUGGCGAAGGCGGGUCUCUGGACAGUUCCUGACGCUGAGGCACGAAGCCAGGGGAGCAAACGGG
rnacentral:rRNA from 1 species